UACGAAGGGGGCUAGCGUUGUUCGGAAUCACUGGGCGUAAAGCGCAUGCAGGCGGGUCGUUAAGUUAGGGGUGAAAUCCCGAGGCUCAACCUCGGAACUGCCUCUGAUACUGGCGACCUUGAGUCCGGGAGAGGUGAGUGGAAUUCCUAGUGUAGAGGUGAAAUUCGUAGAUAUUAGGAAGAACACCAGUGGCGAAGGCGGCUCACUGGCCCGGUACUGACGCUCAGGUGCGAAAGCGUGGGGAGCAAACAGG
rnacentral:rRNA from 1 species